rnacentral:rRNA from 1 species
UGCUCCUAGUACGAGAGGACCGGAGUGGACGCAUCACUGGUGUUCGGGUUGUCAUGCCAAUGGCUCUGCCCGGUAGCUAAAUGCGGAAGAGAUAAGUGCUGAAAGCAUCUAAGCACGAAACUUGCCCCGAGAUGAGUUCUCCCUGACUCCUUGAGAGUCCUGAAGGAACGUUGAAGACGACGACGUUGAUAGGCCGGGUGUGUAAGCGCAGCGAUGCGUUGAGCUAACCGGUACUAAUGAACCGUGAGGCUUAACCUUACAACGCCGAAG